CGCAGUCGCUAGAUUGCGUGGAGCCGUCCUUGAAAUACCACCCUUGUAGUGUUGAUGUUCUAACGUCGACCCCUUAUCGGGGUUGCGGACAGUGCCUGGUGGGUAGUUUGACUGGGGCGGUCUCCUCCCAAAGCGUAACGGAGGAGCACGAAGGUGGGCUAAUCACGGUUGGACAUCGUGAGGUUAGUGCAAUGGCAUAAGCCCGCUUGACUGCGAGAAUGACAAUUCGAGCAGGUGCGAAAGCAGGUCAUAGUGAUCCGGUGGUUCUGAAUGGAAGGGCCAUCGCUCAACGGAUAAAAGGUACUCCGGGGAUAACAGGCUGAUACCGCCCAAGAGUUCAUAUCGACGGCGGUGUUUGGCACCUCGAUGUCGGCUCAUCACAUCCUGGGGCUGAAGUCGGUCCCAAGGGUAUGGCUGUUCGCCAUUUAAAGUGGUACGCGAGCUGGGUUUAGAACGUCGUGAGACAGUUCGGUCCCUAUCUGCCGUGGGCGUUGGAGAAUUGAAAGGGGCUGCUCCUAGUACGAGAGGACCGGAGUGGACGAACCUCUGGUGUUCGGGUUGUGUCGCCAGACGCAUUGCCCGGUAGCUAAGUUCGGGAUCGAUAACCGCUGAAAGCAUCUAAGCGGGAAGCGAGCCUUGAGAUGAGUUCUCCCUGAUACUUUAAGUAUCCUAAAGGGUUGUCGUAGACUACGACGUUGAUAGGCAGGGUGUGUAAGCGUUGUGAGGCGUUGAGCUAACCUGUACUAAUUGCCCGUGAGGCUUAACCAU
rnacentral:rRNA from 1 species